UCUCUCUAAACACUCUCGCGGUACUUUGAUAUCAUACGCCGAUCGGUCUGCGCAGAGCCGAUGCAUCUCGAACAAGCCUUUCGUUUGUGAAUCGGAGUAAGUUACUCGUCGCGCUGCAGAUUCAGCAGCGUUGUUGACUACCAAGCGGUUCACUUCCGUUGACACCGUUGAUGGAGACGUACAGGUUUCGAGUUGCCGCGCUCCCGCCAUUUAAGAUCCAAACGACAGCAAGCAUCAUCAGUAUCUGGUUCACUGCUCGAGUCCUGUACCUCCACGAGAGAUGCUCCACCAGGAAACUGUGAAUGAGAUGUUUGGGAAACAGCUUUCUCCAGAUGAAAGAAAGUCCUAAGAGUUUGAAGCGACAGCAGGGGGAUUGUGGUAUGCCAGCGGAGGGCACGGCAUGAACAGAGAGGGCAAGGGAACAUGAAAAGGUCUGCUCUGCUGGGACUGGCACUCUCUGGCUCUGCGGCGGAAUAAAAGCGACAGUAAGGAUUAGAAGAGCGUUCCUCAGCUUGCAGGAUAAGCUGAUCUUCCAUACUCCAGGCCAGUCUGGGGAUUGACACAUCAGAUGAAGAUAUGAAGUGGUGGGUGUGCGUGGAGGCGGGCCAGGCGCCCAGCGAGUCCCCGCGCUUCUCACUUGGUUAACACCUCACACAGAGCACAGAGCCAGGAAUACACUGCCUCUCUCUCUCUCUCUCUCUCUCUCUCCCUCUCCCUCUCCCUCUCCCUCUCUCUCUCUCUCCCUCUCCCUCUCUCUCUCUCUCUCUCUCUCUCUCUCUCUCUCUGACUAAAACAGUUCAUUUGGACCUGCAGGGUCUUCUGCUCCUCAGAGCUUCCACUGAUGGAGGUGGGAGAUAUUCUUAACUAACAGCGGAAGAACAAGAAUGGUUAUUGAACAGUUUUAUCACCAAUUGUUUGCGCGUAUGUAACUUGUCUUUCAUAGACCUUGUCUUUCAUUUUUGUUGCAUUGUUUUUUGUUUUUUUUUGUUUUUGUAUCAGAUUUGCAGAUUUCAGCUUUUUUUUUUACUUUUGCUAUAUGAAGAUCAGAGUAAGUUUUGGAAACUUUGUAUAGCGCUUCAUUUUUUUUCUACUUUUAAAAUGCAUUUUAUGUAUAGAUUUUAUUUAGGUUCUAUUUUGUCAUUUUUUACACAAAUUAUGACUGUCCCAUGGUUAUGACAUAAUUUCCAUCAUGUCCAACAAUUUAGCAAUUUAACAAUUUGUGUGAAAUUACAAAGUAAUUUUAAAUUUGUAAAUUUAAAGUAAAAUAAAAAAAGCUAUGUUAAAUAUAUAUAUUAUAAAAUUUAUAAUAAUAAUGUUUCAUAGCUAUGCUUUUUGUUUAUAUCUUAAAUAUUAUGUUGUGUAUUUAAGAUAAUUAAAAGUUGUGCAAUGUCAUUUUCGCCAUUUAAUUCUGUUAAACAAAAUACAUGCAAUGAAAUGUGAUGGAUAAGACACUGUGGUGGAAAUGUUUAUGACGUAUUAGAAUAAAAUGGUGAAACUGACAGAAUUUACUGAUGCAUAUAUGUCCACUUUUAGACAUUGUUAGUUGACAAAUUGAAUAAAACUAGCAAGACUAUAAAACAUAUUUUAUGAAAGCUUCUAAACAUCCACAUGGCCAAAAGCGCCCUAGUUGAAGAAACAUCCAAUUUUUGUAAGUGUGUUAACUUUUAACCGUAAAUGUUACCCUUUUUAAAGGGUUAGUUCACCCAAAAAUGAAACUUCUGUCAAUAAUUACUCGCAAUCAUGUCAUUCCAAACCCAUAAGACCUUCAUUUAUCUUCAGAACACAAAUUAAGAUAUUUUUAAUGAAAUCUGAGAGGUAUCUGAACCACACAUAUGCAGCAACGUCAUUGCUUAAGGUUAUGAAGCGACGAGAAUACUUUUUGUAUUUGUCAACAACUUUGUCUCUUCCCUGUCAUUCUCCUAUUCUUCCAGGUUCUACGUCAGAAUGCUGGCUCCUGCGUUAGCAUCAUACGCAUGCGUUGCGCUGCUCAGGUGAACAGCAUCAGCCAAUACUGAGCUGACAUAGUGUUCAUAGUGACAUGACAUAGUGACAUGGUGUUCUGACAUAGAACCUGGAAGCGCUGAACGUAAACAGCAUAGGAGAAUGACAGGGAAGAGAUGAAAUUGUUGAAUAAUUAUUUUUGUUUUGUUUUGUUUUUGCACACAAAAAGUAUUCUCUUCACUUCAUAACAUUAAGGUUGAACAACUAUAGUCACAUGGACUAUUUUAACGAUGUCUUUACUACCUUUUUGGACCUUGAAAAGGCAAUGACGUUGCUGCCUAUGUGGGUUCAGACACUUCCUUGAUUUCAUCAAUAAUAUCUUAAUUUGUGUUCCGAAGAUGAACGAAGUUCUUGGAAUGACACGAGGGUGAGUACUUAAUGACAGAAAUUUAAUAUUUGGGUGAACUAACCGUUUAAUGGUGUGAUGCUGUUGAAACUCAAAAUGAGUGAGUUUGAGAAACUCAACCAGGGGUUGCCAGGUCUGCGGGUGGGUGGAUCAGAGUGGCAAAUUUGUAUUCAAAUUUGAAAAGUAUCCCAGUUCCAUGGGAAAACCGCGGACUUGACAACACUGAACUCAACAGUAACCUGUAUUUACAUGCAAGGAAUGUGACAUUGUAUUAGAAGAAUGUGUUUAACCACUGCUGAGUCUAUUUAAAUCAAGGCUUAGAAGAUUAAUAACCGGUUUGGUUAAAUCAAGAACAAGAGAUCAAAGUCCUCUGCUUUAAAUGAUAGACUGCAUUUCAUUCACUAAUGGAGAAUUAGAGGCAGCACUGCCUCGCACAGUUAUCACCAUAAGAUCUACGGUCACCUUUGCACUUAUAAUAUGCAAGACAUCAACAAUUUUAUCUUUUUUUUUUUUUUUUUCUCCGAAAUUUAAGUGUUCUUGUCCUGAAGUAUUAAACUUUAUUUCAUUUAUAAACAUGUUUAUAUAUAUAUAUAUAUAUAUAUAUACUUUUAAACUAUUUUUUAAUAAUUUUUAAUAUUUGUUUGUAUUUUUAAUAUUAUUGAUUUUUUUAUGCUUCAUAAAUGUUGGAAGAAAUUUUAUAUUAAAGUUGGAAAAGCUUCCGUUGACUUAUGUAAUGAAAACAGUGAUGAUGUCAAUGUGAUUUUUGCAUAUUAAAUUGUU